CAAUGGAAUAAUAUGCACAUUCGAAUACAGAUAAUAUGCAAUCGAUCAAAUGCAAAGAGUUACAGAGAAGAAAAUGCAAACUCUAAUUUCUAUACUGGUUCGGCCAACCUGCCUACAUCCAGUGUCCUUCCACUCACCCCGAGAUGGAAGCCAAUGCACUAUAAAGAAAUGAGUUUUUACAACAAGGGCUUUACAGCGACUUCACUUCAAAAUGUAAAUCACUUCUCUAACCCACUAAUUUAAUAUAGGUAGAAAUUAAACAGACUAGCAGCAAGAAUAAUCCUCUGUUGCAGUCAACCCUUUAAGAUCCCCCUAAAAGUCAAGAACCACGCUCUUCUUCUUGUAUACACCAUAGGGAAACAUCAACUCUCAACGAUUGCAACAACUCCUGAUCACAUAGUAAACACCUUAUGUGUGCAGAACGAUCAAACUUUACAAAUCAAACAAUCCUGCUUCACAAGAAACCUUCAAGACUGGAUCACCACAACAAUUCUUGGUUCUUGGAGCUUUUCUCUCUUUUGUAAAACCUCAAAGCUCUAAUAUGAAACAGAUAUGAAAGUGUAAAUUCAUAAAUUGUCUUACAGAAUUCAAAUCAUGCAUCUAUGUAUAGUAUAAGUCAUUUCAGAUGCGUUUUAAUCGAUUAUGCUAUUAAUAUAAUCGAAUACAUUUCACAGUUAUAACAGAUUAAUCAAUAGUCAAAGUCAUUAAUUGAAUGAUCAAUUAAUGUAAUCGAUUUGCAAUAAAUGCUUGGUCAAUAUAUUUAAAAAUAUGACCGUUGUGACAGUUAUGUCAAGCAAUGAAACAAUUUUCAAAUCUUUAACUAACUUAAUUGAAUACAUGAUCCAUGUAAUCAAUGAAGUUGUAACACUUAGCAUAUUUUGGAAACUUUUCUUCUCAAAAUCCAUCACAACACAGUUUGAAAAAUAUUGUGCAAACACACAAGUUUUAAUUGAUUUAAACACUAACAUAAUCAAUUUAAAACUUGUUGCUUUGUCACAGUUUAAAGCUUAAGCUGUCUGAUGACCUUAAUUGAUUAACACACUAUUGUAAUCGAUUAAGUCAUGCAGAUGUGCUUGAUGCUUGUGGUUUUUCAUUUAUAAAACACAUUUUAUGCAUACACAUUUAUGAUAAUGUUUCAAACAUAGUAGCAUGCAAUAAUAAUCACAAUAUGUUCACAAAUAUGCUUGUACAAUUCUCACAGUAAGCAUAAGCAUAUAUAAUGCAUAUGACACAGUACAUACACAUGUGGUUUUAUUAAACAAUGUGUUGUCAUAAUCAAAAACACAAAAAUAGAUAUCACAGAGAUUGUGGGUUCAACUAAUCCCUUGCCCCCCUGUGAACAAUCUCAACAUUUUUGAAAUAACUUAUAUCCUUGAUGUUUUGCCUCUAACUAAAAGAUCUUGACCAAAAUACUGAAAAAGAAAAAAAGAUUAAAGUCUUGGGAGUUAAAGAAAGAUGAAACACAACUAACACAAAGUGGAACAUGCAAGAUAUAUGGGAUUUAUGGAGAACUUGCACUAAAAAAAAAAUACUUGCCUACAGGUCCCUCAAAUAAAAGAACCUGAAAGCCUACCAACUACACAACCACCAAGCACACUUCCUACAUAUUCUAAAGGAACAUCACCUCAACAAACUUAGCCAACUUUAAUUGACCCAACAAUACCUUGUGAAGGAAGUCAGAUUAGUGUCAAAACAUAGCCACCACCAGCAACAACACAUUCUGUUAUCGCAUUAGGUUUGCCACCAUCUACAUCUAUAAGACCCAUCAAUAGACAAAAAUUGUCAUAUAGAAAGGACCCUGUUUGGAAGCCAUGAAACUUUAUUUAUAUACAUUUUGUAGCUACUAUAUGUAUUUGGAACUUCAUUAUCUAUUUUGGCCUAGAUUGGAAGCCAUAUAAUUUAAAACUUACAUAUGUAUUUUGCAGCUUAUUUUGUUUAGCACAUGUAUCUAUGUUGGCUUAACCAAGUCCCUUCUUAUGUAAUUUUGAAAAAAAUGUUGGCUUAACCAAGUCCCUUCUUAUGUAAUUUUGAAAAAAAUGUUCUAUUCGUGAAUGUUUUUGGAACUAAUAUCAUAUGUAUUUGUAGUGGAUUUUAACUUCAUUGUUUCUUUAUAUAUAACUCAAACUUGUCAUUCAUUUAAUAAUAUUACAUUACAACAUGUUAUAUUAAUGUUUAAUCUCAUGUUCGAUAUGCAUAUGUCUUAACGUGAGGAAGGUGUUAGAAGUCUGAGAACGACUAAAAAUAAGAUAAUGUACAAUAUAUAAGUCUAUGCAUACCUUAUUUUACAAACCAAUUUUAUUAGAUUGAUUUAGGUUUAAAGUUCGACACGUAAUAUGUCUUUUUCUAUUAAAGAUUUUUUUAUUUAUGAAUAACUUUACAUUGUCUUAAUAUAAAUUUUGUUGAUUGUGAAUUUUGAUUCCACCUUUUAUACUCUUUUUCUUUGUAUUACAAUUUUUUUUCUUUUAAUAAAUAUUCAUAGAAAUAGAAAGCAUAUGAUUAUUGAAUCAACCCAUGCCAAACUACUUGAAAUGUCAUAUCUCAUAGUGAUAUUAAAAAAAAAACAGAAUGCCCUAAAAUACGUUUUACCUAUUAAAUAAAUUAAAAACGUAUAUAAAGAUGGACUGGAUGAAUUGAAAAUGGAUAUAAAAGAACGGAAUCAUCAAGCACUAUUUUAUCUUAGGACUAUGCACCAGCAUAGAAUAGUGUUUCUCCAUCCCUGUUACAACUAUAUUUAGUGUUAAAAAUUGCAAAUUUGAGUAAAUUCAAUUUAAAUUUUCUUACAUCACACUCAUUUAUGUAAAUGCAUAAGAUGAAACCAAAGUAACACUUUAUUAUUUGAUAAAAAUAGGAUAAUAAUAUAAUGGUAUAUCAUUAUAUACCAAGAUAAAUUAUUGUCAAUCUAUAUUAAUAUUAUUUAUAUAUUGUGGAAUUCAAAUAUUAAAUAUUACUUAUAAAAGAACACUUCUAUCAUUUUCAAUAAUUGAUUUUAAUAGAAAAAUGUAUGAUAAAAUAUAAAUAAAAGAUUGAAUUUUCUUGUUUUAUAAAAUUGUAUUUAUUUAUAUUGAAAUUAAUUUAAGACAUUUUCUGUAAUACCCACUAAAUUAAAAGUAAAACUUUUAAGAAUAUUAUAAAAUAACAAAAUUAAGUUUUAGAGAAAAAUAAAACUUACAUCAAGUAAAACUUUUAAGAAUAUUAUAAAAUAACAAAAUUAAGUUUUAGAGAAAAAUAAAACUUACAUCAGCUUUUUGAAAACAUUUUCAAAAACACACCAUUCCAUUUUUUCCACACCAGUUCUCUCUCUAACCUUGUGCUCUUCUAAAUCCUGUUCUUCUCUCUAGAUUCUUCUUCUCUUGAGUCAUUGAAUCUUCAUUCCGUAAGCGCUUAGACAAUCUUGACGUCAAAGACUUCGAGUUGCAUCGAUCAAUUUCUAGGUUCCCUUUUGGGUAAGUUGUUUUUCACUUUUCCAUGCAAUUUAGGGCUAUGGGGCAUGCAACAGUUUUGCUGCAUAUGAUUCAUUUUGUUCUUUUUCCAAAAAUUUCUAAUUUCUAUUAGAUCCUAAAAAUCCUUUUCUAUCUACAUCUUGUCUAUCUAUAGGUGACUCUUGCUUUUAAUUGAGGAUUAAAAAAAAGGGACAAAUUCCUUCUAUAUUGUGCUACCAAUUGAAGGUAAGGAGAGCUAGAUUUUUCUUAUUUAAAAUUUGUAGAAGUAUGUAAGUAUCAUAUUUAUAUAUAGAAAGUUAAUAUCCAACGUUGUUUUUUUUUUUUCAAUUUCUUUGUUUUGUUUACCUUAUUGGUACCACUUGAUUAAUUUGGUAUAAAAUUGUUAUUUAGUUACAUUGUCUUAUUGUUGUCUGUAUCUUUUUACAAAUCAUGUUUGUGUAUGAUUCAUAGUUCAUUCUUUGCUUGAAUACGUGGAGGAUAUUGAGUACUCGAAAUCUUCACUUCAAUUGUUGACUUUUACUAAAAAGCAAUUAGUUUAAGCUUGAAUAUUCUGAUUUUUGUAGUCUUGGUGCUUGCAUUUUCACUUUUGAAGAUGAUGUUUCUCUUUAAAGAUAAAUGCUGGUUGAACCUGGAUGUAAUAAGUAACGUGUGGUUUUCAUCUAGUUCAUUUGCCUAAUGUAUUGACUAAGAGUUUUAUUUCGGAAUUUUGAUAGUUGCAGAAGCAUGAAUAUGGUUUCUUACUUUUAGAAAAGGCAGAGAUAGAGAUAAAGUUAAGUGGUAUAAAAUUUAGAGUAAAAUAGUGGGGAUGUAGUUAGAUGCUACAGGAAAUUUUCACUAGGUACGGAAAUAAGAAGCUAGUGGUAGACCACCUUAUAUUUUUGUUUAUAAACGAUUGGAAAUGGGAUCUCUGUGUAGCAUUCUCGUAACUAUAAAUUGGUGGUUUCAAAGAAUUUGAUAAAUUAUAAAAAGGAGGGCAUGAGAGGGCCGUGAGGGUAUUUGUUUUUUAUAAUAAUUUGUUAAAUAUCUAAUUUAGUUACUUUAAUACGUUAGUCUUCUUUGUUGGAAAUUGUUUAAGUAAACUUAAAUCAUAAAAGUUUAAUUAACAUAUUUUAUUUAAGCCAUGAUGGUUUAAGAAAAUAUAUUUUUGGUGUAUUAGAAAUUACAUUCCAGAGGCCUUUUAAUUUUAUUGACGUAUGACUUUAAAUAUUUUAGUCUAAGCAUGUAGAUAGUUUCACCUUUUGUUAAUUUUAUUGACUUUAAAUAUUGAAAGUAAGGAAGCUAUUAGACAUAUGAUUGUAUUAGGGUCAUCCUUGUUGGUUAAUGAUAAGUAUAAAUGGUUGUAAUGUAGUCUUAGGUCUUCGUAGAGAAACGGUGAACUAUUACUUAUUUUGGGGUUGUAGAACUAUAUUACUUGGUGGUAACUUUAGUGUGCAUAUUUUGAUUUGUUUAUAAUUCAAAAGUAUAUGACUUGAGAAAGAAUGAAACAUGAUUUCAAGAUUGUUGGCGAUGAUUUAAAUGUAAGAUCUCUAGGUGAGAUCUUUGUAAUGUUUAGAAUGAAUAUAGGAAGCUCGGUCUUGGGGGUUAUCCUAACACUCUAAUGACUCUUUCAAUCUCACUUAGAGAAGAAUUAGUCAUGUGGUGAGAGUAGUAGGAGGUCUUGGGUGCUUCCAGUAUGACCCAAGGUGAACGAUAACGGACUUACACUUGUGUGUGUGGUAGGGUUCAACCCAUGGCAAUGGCUUUGCAAAGCAGUAGAGGCUACCACAAGUGCACAACCCGCCAUAGCUCGAUAUUCAUUCUAUGUUCGGACGAGUCUUGUCUAGAUUAAAAUCUGUUACAAUAUACUAUGUGUUUUAAUUGCAUGAAUAUUAUUGUGUACGUUAGAUUAAAUUGCAUUAACAUGUAUAUUUUUGAGAAUCUAGCUCACCAUUGCAUGUUUGGUGUUUGUUUUGUAUGUUUGUCUUAUUCCUGUCGUAAUGAUCAUCAAAAAUGGAUGUCAACAGAGGCAAAUGAUGUUCCAAUGGAGCAAGCCUUGGAAGGUGAAGAUACUGCACCUAGUUCUUAGGAUUUUUUUUUCUCUUUACUUUAUUUUGAAAGAUAUUUCUGUAAAAUGAGUUUGAACUUUAUAAUUCCUUGAAAUUAGCUUUAAUCAUCUAUUUAUUUUGAAAUACUUUGAAUUAAGUAUAAUUUAAGGUUAUAAUUUAUUUUGGAAUGACUGUAAAAUUAUAAAUCUAUAUUUAUAUCCUCUUAGCUGCUCUCUUUUAUUAUAAUGAUCAUUGUUCUAGAUUAUAUAUUUCCAUAUAAUUCGGGAUGUCACAUUUUCUCAAUUCAUUAUAUUAUUCAAUUAAUUUACUUAUUUUUAUCAAUCAAUUAAAUCAACUACAAAAUUUUAUUGAUCACGUUUUAUUUUUCACUCUCUUUUUUUCUAUCCAACCCUGUAUCUUUUUCUUUCUUUCAUCUUUUUCACUCUCACUUAAAUUCAAACAACAUAUUAAAAGUUACUCCUCCUAUAAAAUAAAUAAAUAAAAAAGACACAACAGUCAUUUUUGAAAUAAAUGAGAGUGAAAGAAAUAAAAUCCUUAAAUUUGGGUCGAGUAACGAGAAUAAUGAGUUUCGUAACCCAAGGACAUAAAAAUAUAUAAUAAUACUAUUUGUUUAAUAAUUUAAUAAAAGUAUUAUUUGUCUUAUAAAUUUAAUAUUUAAUAUAAUAAAGGUUUAAUCAUUCAGGAAGUCUCUAUUUUUGCGUAGAAUCUCAAUUUCAUCCCGUUUUUUUUGGAUUUUUCAAUUGGGUUCUAAUUUUUUGAAAAUUGCAACAAUUAGAUCCUUUCCGUUAAAUUGAAUCCAACGGCGUUAAUGUGUGUUUAACGUGGCACGCUGGAGUCAAUUUCUUACCUGACAUGGAUAGGGACACCUUAAUGUGAGGCAACCAAUGUGAGGUAACCACCUCAUCAUCCCUGCCACAUCAGUUUUAUCUUUCAUCUCCAGAACCCUAAUCCUCUUACCAACCUCCUUGUGCCGCCAGCAUCACUAGACCACCACAACUCCUCUGUUAGUCACCAUGGUCCAUCUUCUACUCCGUCAACCAUGCAUAACUUCUCCACCACAGUUCAUCUUCGCCAGAGCACCACUCAAACAUGCACGAAACCUCCAUAGCGUCAUCUCUUCUUUGAAUUCUCGUUUCACUCGCAAACUUAGAAAUCAUAGAGCCCUAAUACAAAAAAUCUCCAAAUCAGAAAACCCAAUCGAACCAUGAAACCCACUGCGAGUUUUUCCCCAAACGUGGCAACACAGAAACCCUAAUUCGUGAAGAAGGAGGCUUUCGAGAAUGUGGUGGCACGAUGUGUUUCCUCUAAUUUUGGUUUCUGCUGGGUUUCUGGAAUUUGGUAAUUGCAGGUCCGCAUUGAUGAUAAACGAAGCUUGGAUGGCAGCGACAAUGAAGUUUGCGAGGUGAGGGCGACCUAACUGGUAUGGUGCAAGGUCGAUGGUGACUCGAAGGGUUUCGCGAAUGGAGGAGGAGCUCGUCGCUGUUGAUGGCGCGAUUGCGUUUGGGUGGCACUUGUGGGAUUUCCUGAAUCGCAAUUCUCUAGUUUCAAUUUUGUUGAUGUUCGCUGCGAUUCUAAUUGGUUGCAGAGCUUACGAAGAUGGUGAUAAUGGAGGACAAGUCACGACGGCUUGCAGUUCGAGUGCGGCAGCGCUGUAGUGGCGAGAGUGAUAGAUGGUGGGGUGCCAUGGUUGCCGGAUGAAGAAGCUUGUGUUUGACGAAGGACGAAAGUGACAGAGGGCUUGCGGUGGCCAUGGAGAUUCACGAAGAAGGUUGAGGGGAGGGAUAGUUGUCGGCGAGAAUGACAGUGGCGGUGCAUGGUAGCCAAGGUUUGGAAAUUAGGGUUUCUGUUUGGAGAAGGGUUGAAGGAGAUGCUGACGUGACAGGAGUGAUAAAAGUCCAAUGUGCCAUGUCAAACCCACACUAAUGUCGUUGGACCCAAUUUAACGGAAAGGGCCCAAUUGUUGUAAUUUUCAAAAAAUUGGAACCCAAUUGAGAAAUCCAAAAAGAACAGGACGAAAUUGAGAUUCCACACAAAAAUAGGAACUUUCUGAAUGAUUAAAUCUAUAAUAAAAGAAUUAUAGUCAUUAUCAUUUUUAUAUUUUCGGAAUUAGUUUUUAUAUUUAUAUUAUAUUUAAUUUUCUUAUAUUUCUUGUUGAGUAAACGAGUUUCUUAUAUGGAUAAAAAAAAUUAAUCACUCUGUUCAAGGAAAAGUUACUGUAUACACUUUCUUUUACAAUUUUAGCUGAUUUGAAUUGAAAAAGAAACAAAAAUUAUUUGCGAACAUCUUAUUUCAAAGGACUCUAAUAUGUUGUUAACAACAUUUUAUAAUAAGUUAUUGAUACUUUUAAUGAAGUUAGUUAUACGGUGGAUUACUGUUAAACACAAUAAUCACACCUCUGUUAGUUAUUUUUAGUUAGGAUUUCAUACAUUGUAUAAGACCCUUUUUUUUUUCAUAUUCCCAUGAACUCUAUAAAUAGAGUUCUUCUCUGUAUUUUCAAACACACAGAAUAAUAUACAUCAUGUUUCAUCAGAGUUACAGAGCAUUCUCUGAAAACAGUAAACAAAGUUGCUUUCCACUUACCUGAGACGCUCCUCUAUCUUUUCUUCUUCAUCGUCUUCCUCUUUC
rnacentral:lncRNA from 1 species